AUGUGCUCUAGGUUCCUCUGCUGUGUGACUCUCUUCCUCCUGGGAGCAGGCCUGCUGGAGUCUGAAGUCACCCAGACCCCCAAAUACCUGAUCAAAUCGAGAAAGGAGCAAGUGACUCUGAGAUGUUCCCCUAAAUCUGGACACCGCUCCGUGUACUGGUAUCAGCAGGCCCUGGGCCAGGGCCCCCAGUUCCUUGUUCAGUAUUAUGAUGGGAAAGUGUAUCAAAAAGAAAACAUAUCAGAUCGAUUCUCAGGAAAACAAUUCAGUGACGCUCGCUCUGAGCUGAGCUUGACCCCCUUGGAGCUGACAGACUCAGCCGUGUAUCUCCGUGGCAGCAGCCAAGACACAGCCCUGCAUGAUCAGGUGCCUCUGGAACAAAAACACUCCUGCCCCAGCUCAGGAAGUGGUGCCCAGCGUGUCAGCUGCCAGCCUGCCAAGCCCAGUCUCUGGUAG